rnacentral:rRNA from 1 species
CCUACGGGUGGCAGCAGUGGGGAAUCUUGCACAAUGGGGGAAACCCUGAUGCAGCGACGCCGCGUGAGUGAUGAAGCCCUUCGGGGUGUAAAGCUCUUUCGACGGGAACGAUAAUGACGGUACCCGGAGAAGAAGCUGCGGCUAACUACGUGCCAGCAGCCGCGGUAAUACGUAGGCAGCGAGCGUUGUUCGGAGUUACUGGGCGUAAAGAGUGUGUAGGCGGUUGGCUAAGUCUGGUGUGAAAUCUCCCGGCUCAACUGGGAGGGUGCGCCGGAAACUGGCUGGCUAGAGUGUGGGAGAGGGAAGCGGAAUUCCUGGUGUAGCGGUGAAAUGCGUAGAUAUCAGGAGGAACACCGGUGGUGUAGACGGCUUCCUGGACCACAACUGACGCUGAGACACGAAAGCGUGGGGAGCAAACAGGAUUAGAUACCCUGGUAGUC